UACGAAGGGUGCAAGCGUUACUCGGAAUUACUGGGCGUAAAGCGUGCGUAGGUGGUUUGUUAAGUCUGUUGUGAAAGCCCCGGGCUCAACCUGGGAAUGGCAUUCGGGACUGCAAGGCUGGAGUGCGACAGAGGAGACUGGAAUUCCUGGUGUAGCAGUGAAAUGCGUAGAUAUCAGGAGGAAUACCGAUGGCGAAGGCAGGUCUCUGGGCUGACACUGACGCUCAUGCACGAAAGCGUGGGGAGCAAACAGG
rnacentral:rRNA from 1 species